rnacentral:rRNA from 1 species
GACGAACGCUGGCGGCGUGCUUAACACAUGCAAGUCGAGCGGUAAGGCCCUUUCGGGGGUACACGAGCGGCGAACGGGUGAGUAACACGUGGGUGACCUGCCCUCAGCUCUGGGAUAAGCCUGGGAAACUGGGUCUAAUACUGGAUAUGACUCCACGGUGCAUGUCGUGGGGUGGAAAGCCUUGUGCGGCUGAGGAUGGGCCCGCGGCCUAUCAGCUUGUUGGUGGGGUGAUGGCCUACCAAGGCGACGACGGGUAGCCGGCCUGAGAGGGCGACCGGCCACACUGGGACUGAGACACGGCCCAGACUCCUACGGGAGGCAGCAGUGGGGAAUCUUGCGCAAUGGGCGAAAGCCUGACGCAGCGACGCCGCGUGAGGGAUGACGGCCCUCGGGUUGUAAACCUCUUUCAGCUCCGACGAAGCGGAAGUGACGGUAGGAGCAGAAGAAGCACCGGCCAACUACGUGCCAGCAGCCGCUGUAAC